GAACGUUUUCAGUUUAUGGGAUUGACAGACACAGUAUCCACAGGGAGGCUCGCUCCCAGAGGACCUCUUGUGAGAACACGGCCUUCAGAUUCACGGGGACACAAAGAACCUGCUGGACUUGAACGUGGUCGCCCAGACGUAAGACACCCGUCUGCACAGGCCAGCAGCACGCCCCUUCAGGAGCACUUCCAGUACGGUCUAGCGGCGGCCCGGCCAUUCCUCCACACGGUGAACGUGUGAGGGACCCAGUCAAAGGAUCCGUGACAACGACCACGUGGAGGAAACAGGGAUGUGAAGAACGGCAGGGAGAUGUCGGGAGGGCCAACCACCGGGUGAGCUCCUGCUUCUGGAGAGAGAGCCCCCGCCCCUCGAGUGGCACCUUGUGGAAGGAGGUGCAGAUCAUCCGCCAUCAUGGUGGACUGGGGACCACAAGGUUUCUUGUGCCGAUGGAGAUGCUUCCCAGCGCUGAGCCUGAAGGCCUUCGACCCCCUGGAGCCCAGGAAGUCGCAGCCGUUGGGGAGAGGCUGGCCCGCGGCGGAAAGCCCUCGGACCCCGAAACGAGAAGCCAAACGCCACCGCCGCGCACCUGGUCAGCGCGU